GGAUAAUAAAUAGUCCUUUAAUUGGGGACUGGAAUGAAGGGUUAAAACUAAGAAGAGUGUUUUAUUUAAUAAAUUUGAACUUAAAUUAAAAGUAAAAAUGCUUUUAUGAAGUUUUGGGACGAGAAGACCCUAGAAGCUUAAAAUUGAAGAUUUUUUGUUGGGGUAACAUUUGAAGAUGUAAAUUUUUAAAGUUUUAUAAGGGGUUAUGUAAAGUUACUCUAGGGAUAACAGCAUUAUUUAAUUAACAAGUUCUUAUUAAUAAUUAAGUUUGUGACCUCGAUGUUGAAUUAAUU
rnacentral:rRNA from 1 species